AAGUGCGAAUGCUGACAUAAGUAACGAUAAAACGGGUGAAAAACCCGUUCGCCGGAAGACCAAGGGUUCCUGUCCAACGUUAAUCGGGGCAGGGUGAGUCGGCUCCUAAGGCGAGGCUGAAAAGCGUAGUCGAUGGGAAACAGGUUAAUAUUCCUGUACUUGGUAAAGCUGCGAUGUGGGGACGGAGUAGGUUAGGUUAUCGCACUGUUGGAUAUGUGCGUUUAAGUUGGUAGGUGGGAAGUUUAGGCAAAUCCGGGCUUCCUUAACACAGAGAGAUGAUGACGAGGCUCUACGGAGCUGAAGUAACUGAUACCACACUUCCAGGAAAAGCCACUAAGCGAAAGGCUUUACUAAACCGUACUGAAAACCGACACAGGUGGUCAGGUAGAGAAUACUCAGGCGCUUGAGAGAACUCGGGUGAAGGAACUAGGCAAAAUAGCACCGUAACUUCGGGAGAAGGUGCGCCGGCGUAGAUUGUAAGGGCUAGCCCCUGAAGGUUGAACCGGUCGAAGAUACCAGCUGGCUGCAACUGUUUAUUAAAAACACAGCACUCUGCAAACACGAAAGUGGACGUAUAGGGUGUGAUGCCUGCCCGGUGCUGGAAGGUUAAUUGAUGGUGUAAUCGCAAGAGAAGCACCUGAUCGAAGCCCCAGUAAACGGCGGCCGUAACUAUAACGGUCCUAAGGUAGCGAAAUUCCUUGUCGGGUAAGUUCCGACCUGCACGAAUGGCAUAAUGAUGGCCAGGCUGUCUCCACCCGAGACUCAGUGAAAUUGAAAUCGCCGUGAAGAUGCGGUGUACCCGCGGCUAGACGGAAAGACCCCGUGAACCUUUACUAUAGCUUGACACUGAACAUUGAAUUUUGAUGUGUAGGAUAGGUGGGAGACUUAGAAGUAGUCACGCCAGUGAUUAUGGAGUCGACCUUGAAAUACCACCCUUUAACGUUUGAUGUUCUAACGAAGAUGACGAAACGUGGUCUCGGACAGUGUCUGGUGGGUAGUUUGACUGGGGCGGUCUCCUCCCAAAGCGUAACGGAGGAGCACGAAGGUUUGCUAAUCACGGUCGGACAUCGUGAGGUUAGUGCAAUGGUAUAAGCAAGCUUAACUGCGAGACAGACAAGUCGAGCAGGUACGAAAGUAGGUCAUAGUGAUCCGGUGGUUCUGAAUGGAAGGGCCAUCGCUCAACGGAUAAAAGGUACUCCGGGGAUAACAGGCUGAUACCGCCCAAGAGUUCAUAUCGACGGCGGUGUUUGGCACCUCGAUGUCGGCUCAUCACAUCCUGGGGCUGAAGUAGGUCCCAAGGGUAUGGCUGUUCGCCAUUUAAAGUGGUACGCGAGCUGGGUUUAGAACGUCGUGAGACAGUUCGGUCCCUAUCUGCCGUGGGCGUAGGAGAAUUGGUUGGGGCUGCUCCUAGUACGAGAGGACCGGAGUGGACGCACCACUGGUGUUCCGGUUGUGUCGCCAGACGCAUUGCCGGGUAGCUAAGUGCGGAAGAGAUAAGUGCUGAAAGCAUCUAAGCACGAAACUUGCCAAGAGAUGAGUUCUCCCAAUC
rnacentral:rRNA from 1 species